UACGUAGGGGGCAAGCGUUGUCCGGAUUUAUUGGGCGUAAAGAGCGUGUAGGCGGCUAGAUAGGUCCGUUGUGAAAACUCGAGGCUCAACCUCGAGACGCCGGUGGAAACCAUCUAGCUAGAGUCCGGAAGGGGAGAGUGGAAUUCCUGGUGUAGCGGUGAAAUGCGCAGAUAUCAGGAAGAACACCCGUGGCGAAGGCGGCUCUCUGGUACGUGACUGACGCUGAGACGCGAAAGCGUGGGGAGCAAACAGG
rnacentral:rRNA from 1 species